AGCUCCAAUAGCGUAUAUUUAAGUUGUUGCAGUUAAAAAGCUCGUAGUCGGAUUUCGGGCUGAUCGUGCCGGUCUGCCGUUGGGUAUGCACUGGUCGUGGUCGGUCUUAUUGCGUGAGGCCUUGCGCGUCGUUCGUUCGUCGCGCCUGGUGCUCUGCACGUUUACUUUGAGGAAAUUAGAGUGUUUCAAGCAGGCACACG
rnacentral:rRNA from 1 species